GGCGAAAAGCUCAGUAACACGUGGUCAAACUACCCUACGAAGACCCAUAACCUCGGGAAACUGAGGCUAAUAGGUCAUAGGAGAGUCACGCUGGAAUGCCGACUCUCCCAAACGCUCAGGCGUCGUAGGAUGUGGCUGCGGCCGAUUAGGUAGACGGUGGGGUAACGGCCCACCGUGCCGAUAAUCGGUACGGGUUGUGAGAGCAAGAGCCCGGAGACGGAAUCUGAGACAAGAUUCCGGGCCCUACGGGGCGCAGCAGGCGCGAAACCUUUACACUGCACGCAAGUGCGAUAAGGGGACCCCAAGUGCGAGGGCAUAUAGUCCUCGCUUUUUCCGACCGUAAGGUGGUCGGCGAAUAAGGGCUGGGCAAGACCGGUGCCAGCCGCCGCGGUAAUACCGGCAGCCCAAGUGAUGACCGAUAUUAUUGGGCCUAAAGCGUCCGUAGCCGGCCAUGAAGGUUCAUCGGGAAAUCCGCCAGCUUAACUGGCGGGCGUCCGGUGAAAACCACGUGGCUUGGGACCGGAAGGCUCGAGGGGUACGUCCGGGGUAGGAGUGAAAUCCCGUAAUCCUGGACGGACCACCGAUGGCGAAAGCACCUCGAGAAGACGGAUCCGACGGUGAGGGACGAAAGCUAGGGUCUCGAACCGGAUUAGAUACCCGGGUAGUCCUAGCUGUAAACGAUGCUCGCUAGGUGUGGCACAGGCUACGAGCCUGUGCUGUGCCGUAGGGAAGCCGAGAAGCGAGCCGCCUGGGAAGUACGUCCGCAAGGAUGAAACUU
rnacentral:rRNA from 1 species